rnacentral:rRNA from 1 species
AAGCUCGUAGUUGAAUUUCGGGGUUCUACCGUUGGUCGGGCAAUAGUCUGUACUGGCGUGUGGAAUUUCUACUUUCUGGGGAACUAUCAUGUUAUUUAUUUAGCGUGGUAGGGAACCAGGACCUUUACCUUGAAAAAAUUAGAGUGUUCAAAGCAGGCUUACGUCUGAAUACAUUAGCAUGGAAUAAUAAAAUAGGACGGUGGUCCUGUUUUGUUGGUUUCUGAAUCACCGUAAUGAUUAAUAGGGAUAGUUGGG